rnacentral:rRNA from 1 species
AUACCGGAUAGAUCAUAGAUACUGGAAUGUUCAUUGAUCUAAAGCUCCGGCGUCCAAGGAUGGAUCUGCGACCUAUCAGGUAGUAGUGGGUGUAACGUACCUACUAGCCUACGACGGGUACGGGUUGUGAGAGCAAGAGCCCGGAGAUGGAUUCUGAGACAUGAAUCCAGGCCCUACGGGGCGCAGCAGGCGCGAAAUCUUUACAAUGCAGGAAACUGCGAUAAGGGGACCCCGAGUGCCAGCAUCUAAUGCUGGCUGUCCAGCUGUGUAAAUAGCAGUUGUUAGCAAGGGCCGGGCAAGACCGGUGCCAGCCGCCGCGGUAACACCGGCGGCCCGAGUGGUAACCGAUUUUAUUGGGUUUAAAGGGUCCGUAGCCGGCCUAUUAAGUCUCUUGGGAAAUCUGGCGGCUUAAUCGUCAGACGUUCAAGAGAUACUGAUGGGCUUGGGACCGGUAGAGGUGGGAGGUACUCCAGGGGUAGAGGUGAAAUUUUGUAAUCCUUGGGGGACCACCUGUGGCGAAGGCGCCUCACCAGGACGGCUCCGACAGUGAGGGACGAAAGCUGGGGGAGCAAACCGGAUUAGAUACCCGGGUAGUCCCAGCCGUAAACGAUGUGCGUUAGGUGUAUCGGUGACCACGAGUCACCGAGGUGCCGAAGAGAAAUCGUGAAACGUACCGCCUGGGAAGUACGGUCGCAAGGCUGAAACUUAAAGGAAUUGGCGGGGG